UGUGCUGCAGAAGAGAAGAGAAGGAAACAAAAAAUUCCGAACAAUUCUGCGGCAAAAGAGAGGGGGGAGAGAGAGAGAGAACAAAGACGCAGUCGCGCACGAUCUCCACGAUCUCCAGACUAGAGAAGAACUACCGGGCCACGAUCUCAACACAGAUCGAUGCACAAGACGACGUGGGAGAAAAUCGGUGUACAAAUGGAUGCAUCAAGACUCAUCCCUAUUCCAAUUUACAGUUCAUACGAAAAGAGGAAACACAGAAAGAAAGAAGAGCAGAGCACAAUCAAACCCAGGAGGAGGAGAAAGAAAAAGAAACAAAUCGGGUGACGGUUUGCAGACUUGCUGAUUACCAUUGGGUCAUUUCAGAUUUUGGGUUUUGUUUUGCUCAAGUAGAAGACGAAUCCACUCUUGCAGACUUGAUAAUUCCCAUUGGGUAAUUUUCAAAUUUCGUUUUUCAUUGAUUUUCAUAUUCAAUUUGUUAUCUUUUCGGGUUUUCUAUAAUCCAAUCCACAGGUUUGAAUUAUAAUAUCAAAGUAUGUUCUGCCAUCAAGGAUCAAACCCAGGAGGAUAGAUUUGGUCCCUGCCGAAUUGACCGGUAAUUUGGGUUCUAAGAGGCUGUCUAAGUGAAACUCAUUGAUGACCUUUGUUUCUCUUGAACGCGUGAAUUGCUUGGACUGGAUCUGAUUGUUAAGAUUACCGGCAACAAUUGGAAGUAAGGAUAUUAGCUGGUUUGAGCAAAUUGGAAUUGAAGUCGAUAUUGGGUAUGCCAUUACAUGCUUGAUCAGCGAUUCAAUUGGUUUGUACUUUACGAUUGCACUAAAUUUGUGAUUGGUUUUGUACGCAUUUAUUUGAGAGAGUGUAAUUGGUAAUUUGCUCCAUAUAAGAUAAGAUUAACAUGACGCGUUAGUAAUUAAGGAAGAAUUGCUCAAAGCUGUGACAGAUUAAGGAGCAUAUUGAACAAGGCUUUAAGAUUAGAGAGACGAAGGAACCAAGAAAUUGAAGACAAAAAGGAAGAGCAUAAACUGACAUGAAAGACAACUCAUAGGGGUAGGAACUGAAAGCAGAUCGAUAAGGACCUGUUGAUCCAUAUUCAAGCAUGUAUAUAUGAAUGCCAGAUUGGACAGUAGAUAUAAAAUCAUUGUCAGCAAGUGAAACUGAAAGCAUAUCGCUGAGGACCUAUAACCUAUUGAUCUAUAUUCAAGCAUUCACUUCGCUUGCAACAUAUAUAUAUGAAUGGCAGCUUGGACACUACAGACAAAAUCAUGACCAGCAAGCAAAACUAAUAGCUGAAGCAUAAGGACCUGUUCAUCUAUAUUCAAGUAAACACCAAAAGACUGGGCAACUCGACGGUUAAAUCGGGUCCUGUUGGGUUCACAUACCACUAUGUCUGACUCAGGUUCACAUACUAGACCGAGUCAGGUUCACAGAGACGAAUCAGGGGCAACCCAGAAUGUGGAUACUUCAAGUAUGUACUGGCCUAAAUGGCUAAUACUGAAACUAGCAUAAAAUUACUAGAGGAGCUGUAGCUAUGUUUUGAUGCGGUGUUACCGUAACAAACCGUUACCACUCGAUCAUUGAAUUGUUUAAAAGCAAAUAAGGUGUUGAUGACAAUGGACCAGUAGAUUGUUUUUGGUCGUGGGUAAAGUAACCAUAUAUCUAAAUAUGGUGUUCAGAAUGAUUUAUCAUUUCAUUCGCCGCAAGUAA